rnacentral:rRNA from 1 species
GACGAACCGUGCGAACGUUGUUCGGAAUCACUGGGCUUAAAGGGCGCGUAGGCGGCUUGCCAAGUCCGGGGUGAAAUCCUCCAGCUUAACUGGAGAAGUGCCUUGGAUACUGGCGAGCUCGAGGGAGGCAGGGGUUGUGGGAACUUCCGGUGGAGCGGUGAAAUGCGUUGAUAUCGGAAGGAACGCCGGUGGCGAAAGCGCACAACUGGUCCUCUUCUGACGCUGAGGCGCGAAAGCCAGGGGAGCAAACGGG